GCUGGGUGAGGUGGUGCACGCCUGUAAUCCCAGCCACUUGGGAGGCUAAGGCAGGAGGAUCACAAGUUUAAAACCAGUCUCAGCAACUUAGUGAGGCCCUAAAUAACUUAGGGAGACCCUGUCUCAA
rnacentral:sRNA from 1 species